rnacentral:lncRNA from 1 species
GUGGUUUUAAAUAUAUUACAUCAAAAUUUAUAACAGAAUAAAAGUAAAUUCCAAAUCUAGGAUUUUAAUAACUCAAGUCCUUGUAUUUAAUUGUACACAUAGUAAAAUGAGAUGGUGAUAGACUUAACCAAAUCCACUUUUGGGUUGUAUGGAAUAAAAGCUUACUGAUUUUUAUCUGUUCUGUGUAAGUCUGAGCCUGAAGAUUUAAGGGUUUAAAAAACUAUAUGAUUUACUGGUUCAAACCAAGCCUCAUUUGAAAAAGCUAUCUAACAUUUG